rnacentral:rRNA from 1 species
CCCCUUAGAGUUUGAUCAUGGCUCAAGACGAACGCUGGCGGCGUGCUUAACACAUGCAAGUCGAACGGAAAGGCCCAGCUUGCUGGGUACUCGAGUGGCGAACGGGUGAGUAACACGUGGGUGAUCUGCCCUGCACUCUGGGAUAAGCCUGGGAAACUGGGUCUAAUACCGGAUAUGACCAACUGUCGCAUGGUGGUUGGUGGAAAGCUUUUGCGGUGUGGGAUGGGCCCGCGGCCUAUCAGCUUGUUGGUGGGGUAAUGGCCUACCAAGGCGACGACGGGUAGCCGACCUGAGAGGGUGAUCGGCCACACUGGGACUGAGACACGGCCCACACUCCUACGGGAGGCAGCAGUGGGGAAUAUUGCACAAUGGGCGCAAGCCUGAUGCAGCGACGCCGCGUGAGGGAUGACGGCCUUCGGGUUGUAAACCUCUUUCACCAGGGACGAAGCGGAAGUGACGGUACCUGAAGAAGAAGCACCGGCCAACUACGUGCCAGCAGCCGCGGUAAUACGUAGGGUGCAAGCGUUGUCCGGAAUUACUGGGCGUAAAGAGCUCGUAGGGCGGUUUGUCGCGUCGUCUGUGAAAUUCUGCAACUCAAUUGCAGGCGUGCAGGCGAUACGGGCAGACUUGAGUACUACAGGGGGAGAACUGGUAUUUCCUGGUGGUAGCGGGUGAAAUGCCCAGAUAUCAAGAGAACAGCGGGUGGGCGAAGGGCGGGUCUCUCUAGGUUAUUACCUGACGCUGAGGAACCAAAGCCGUUGGGUAGCGAACAGAUUAGAUACCCCUGUAGUCCACGCCGUAACGGUGGGACUAAGGGUGGUGGCUUCCUUCCCAGGGAUCCGUGCCGUAGCUACGCAUUAGUACCCCGCUGAGAGAGUACGUCCGAGGAUCAACUCGAGAUUGACGGGCAGCAUAUGCGUGAACCAUGGAUCAGUCGAUGAUCGCGAAGCAUC